CCUACGGGUGGCAGCAGUGGGGAAUAUUGGACAAUGGGCGAAAGCCUGAUCCAGCCAUGCCGCGUGUGUGAAGAAGGCCUUCGGGUUGUAAAGCACUUUCAGUGGGGAAGAAAGCCUUGGGGCUAAUACCCUCGAGGAAGGACAUCACCCACAGAAGAAGCACCGGCUAACUCCGUGCCAGCAGCCGCGGUAAUACGGAGGGUGCGAGCGUUAAUCGGAAUUACUGGGCGUAAAGCGCGCGUAGGCGGUCUGAUAAGCCGGUUGUGAAAGCCCCGGGCUCAACCUGGGAACGGCAUCCGGAACUGUCAGGCUAGAGUGCAGGAGAGGAAGGUAGAAUUCCCGGUGUAGCGAUGAAAUGCGUAGAGAUCGGGAGGAAUACCAGUGGCGAAGGCGGCCUUCUGGACUGACACUGACGCUGAGGUGCGAAAGCGUGGGUAGCAAACAGGAUUAGAUACCCCAGUAGUC
rnacentral:rRNA from 1 species